CAAACCAAAGCUGGCGACCGGCGCACGGGUGAGUAACACGUAUCCAACCUGCCUCAUACUCGGGGAUAGCCUUUCGAAAGAAAGAUUAAUAUCCGAUAGCAUAUAUUUCCCGCAUGGGUUUUAUAUUAAAGAAAUUCGGUAUGAGAUGGGGAUGCGUUCCAUUAGUUUGUUGGGGGGUAACGGCCCACCAAGACUACGGUGGAUAGGGGUUCUGAGAGGAAGGUCCCCCACAUUGGAACUGAGACACGGUCCAA
rnacentral:rRNA from 1 species